rnacentral:rRNA from 1 species
CCUACGGGGAGCGGCAGUGAGGAAUAUUGGUCAAUGGGCGCAAGCCUGAACCAGCCAAGUCGCGUGAGGGAUGACGGUCCUAUGGAUUGUAAACCUCUUUUGUCGGGGAGCAAGGCCCGCCACGUGUGGCGGGAAGGAGAGUACCCGAAGAAAAAGCAUCGGCUAACUCCGUGCCAGCAGCCGCGGUAAUACGGAGGAUGCGAGCGUUAUCCGGAUUUAUUGGGUUUAAAGGGUGCGUAGGCGGAAGGUUAAGUCAGCGGUCAAAUGUCGGUGCUCAACACCGGCCUGCCGUUGAAACUGGUCGUCUUGAGUGAGCGAGAAGUAUGCGGAAUGCGUGGUGUAGCGGUGAAAUGCAUAGAUAUCACGCAGAACUCCGAUUGCGAAGGCAGCAUACCGGCGCUCAACUGACGCUGAGGCACGAAAGCGUGGGGAUCGAACAGGAUUAGAUACCCCUGUAGUC